rnacentral:rRNA from 1 species
ACGGAAGGCAGCAGUGGGGAAUAUUGCACAAUGGGCGGAAGCCUGAUGCAGCGAUGCCGCGUGGAGGAAGAAGGUUUUCGGAUUGUAAACUCCUUUUAUCAGGGACGAUAAUGACGGUACCUGAAGAAAAAGCUCCGGCUAACUACGUGCCAGCAGCCGCGGUAAUACGUAGGGAGCGAGCGUUGUCCGGAAUUACUGGGUGUAAAGGGUGCGUAGGCGGGGAUGCAAGUCAGAUGUGAAAUGUAUGGGCUCAACCCAUGAACUGCAUUUGAAACUGCAACUCUUGAGUGAGGUAGAGGUAAGCGGAAUUCCUAGUGUAGCGGUGAAAUGCGUAGAUAUUAGGAGGAACAUCGGUGGCGAAGGCGGCUUACUGGGCCUUUACUGACGCUGAGGCACGAAAGCGUGGGGAG